rnacentral:hammerhead_ribozyme from 1 species
AUCCAAUUGACAAGUCUCAAACAGGACGAAAUGCGUAUCCUGGAU